GGCCUGUGAUGUCAAGAGAAAACAGAAAAAGAGAAGCGAAUUCCACCUUUGCCCACUGAGAACAAAUCUACCCAACUCCUCUGUCACAACCCCUGUGAGAAGAUUCUGCCAUCUCCCAGCCCUGAAGACUGUGAGGUCAUCUGACCACCUAUUACAUUGCUAAAUAUGGCAAGAUGUCACCUGACUCGACAUUAGGCUGCCCGUCAAUCAUCACACUCCUUUUCUCCCACUUACUUUUCUAUCACCCCGUAGAAGGUUCCCAACAGCUGUCCUUAAGUCCUCCAGGCUAUAGAAACCGCUCUUGAAACAAUAUGUCAGCAUACCAUUAGUGUCCUUCAACUCACACCCUCACUUCCCAGCCCCUCCUCUGUGAACAAAGUCUCUCCUUACCUCUUCCGCCAGCACUAAUCAACCUAAUGUUCCUUCACUGUUUUCCCCCCUCCCAGCUUCCCUCCAACCUGCACCCCACACCCCCCCAUCCUUUCUCCUCUUUCUUUCCAAGUCUCCACACUAUGACCGAACACUUGUCAGAAAUGGUGCUCCCCCUGGGCCCCUCCACACCUCCUGAAGCCCAAUCCCCAUCACUUCUUACCACCCCCAGCUCUCUGAUGGCCCUGGGCCUCCCUCCCGACAGCUGAGGCCUUUCCUGGAUCUCUACACAUCACCAAGCUAAGCCAGUGUUCCAAAAUAGUCUCCUGAACAAUGAUGACAACUGCACGGUUAUUUUGGAAGAACUUCCUGGCAGCGAUGGCAGUGGAACAUUAGACACGGAGAGGAACAGGAGGUGGGAAGAGGAGGCUAAGUGCAUGUGGGCCUGAAAGUCCCUGCUUUGGGAGUUUUUUAACAGUCCUGGAUGGAGAAACACAAAGACCCAGCGGAGUCUGCAUUUUCUAGGUUUAGUCAGCCAUUCUGGAAGCUGUGUCCUGGUAACCACAGUGUCCCAGCUAUGAACUCCAGGCAAGUGUACAGCAUCAUCUUCCAUUCACCAUGUGGUUACUGCACUUCUCAUACAAACUACCUGCGUCACUCAGUUAUCCACUAUCAAGGACUAUGCCACACUCCCUAGAGCAGAUGCAGGGCACUUAGAGAUUAAUAAAACAGGCUGGGCACAGUGGCUCAAGCCUGUAACCCCAGCACUUUGGGAGGCUGAGAUAGAAGAACUACUUGAGCCCAGGAGUUCAAGACCAGCCUUGGCAACCUAGUGAGACCCCCAUCUCUACUAAAAAAUAAAAAACUAGCCUGGCAUGGUGGCACCUUCCUGUGGUCCCAGCUACUUGGGAGGCUGAGAUGGGAGGAUCCCUUGAGCUCAGGAGGUUGAGGCUGCAGUGAGUUGUGAUUGCACCACUGCACAGCAGCCUGGGCAACAGAGCAAGACCCUGUCUCAAAAAAAUUAAUUAAAUAAAUAAAAAUAAAAAUAAAACACUUUUAGAGUUCAAGUCUUAAUCGCCAUAUGGCUUUGAGCAACUUAUUUUAUCUCACUAUGCCUCCAUUUCCUAGACCUGGAAACGAAAAUAAGAGAGAAUGAAAUUUAAACAGCUUCUCAGAAGAGUAUGUAAGUUAAGCCACAUAAAGCAUAUAAAUAUCAGUCACUUAGUAGCCACUCGGCACAUGGUAAUUACAAAGCAUGGUGCCAUAAGAAGUUGCUGGGGAGGCAGACAUGUAAAUGAAUGCAGAAAAUAUAUGAGGAAUACUAAAAUAGAAAUUAAAGUGUCCUGUGGCUUUUUCGUCCACAUAGACGAGUGUCAAAGCUAGUAUCUCUCUGGGAGGAUCAUGGCAGACAGGAGGCAGGCCUAGAUUGCAGCUCCCACUCAGACGGACAGAGCAGCAUGUGGAGUAUUGCAUCAUGAACUUUUGCUCCAGAAUGACUGCAGGAAGAAAUCAGGAAAGCCAAGAGAACCCACAGACCCUCUGAAGGAAGUGAAUUGCUCCUGCAUGACCUGGGAGACACCCCAAAUACCGUGAGUGCCCAAACUAUGGAAGUGGGAAAGGGGCAUCAUUCAGUCCCAAACACACAACCUCACUGGGGAACCUCAAGAUCUAGAUCACCAGAGAAGAUUCUAACAUUACCUGGAGCUGAGUCAAUUUAGAGAGCCGAGUGAAACGCAGGGGUAGAAGAAGCAGUGGGAAAAUCCCUGUGGGCUCUCUGGGUGCCCUAGCAAGCCAUUUCUGCCUUGCCUCCCAGGGGUCAUUGGGGAGGGCUACCAGAGGCACUGGGAAAAGGCCACAGGGAGAAGGAAGCCUCCAGCUGAACUUCGUAACAAUUCCAACUGAACAAGAAGUCUCCUGGCCAGAACUACAGGGAGGGCGUGAAUCCUGUGUGCAGACCACAGGUGGGGAAGCACGAAGGGUUCACAGCUUUCACAGCUGGGAGGCUGGUAGCCUGGGGCAAGCUCUCAGCCCUGCUUGUCCACUGCCUGGACACAGACUUAGUGCUGUUGAGCAGGGAAUGGUGAGAGUGAGACUGGCCCUUUGGGUUGUGUGGGAGCUGGGUGAGGCCUGUGAUUGCCAGCUUUCCCUCACUUCCCUGACAACCUGCAUGACACAGCAGAGGCAGCAUAAUCCUCCUAGGAACACAACCCCAUUGACCUGCGAACCACACCUCCAUCCCCCACAAGCAAGACCCACUCAAGGAGAGUCUGAACUCAGACAUGCCUAGCACUGCCCCCACUUAAUGGGCCUUCCCUACCCACCCUGGUAGCUGAAGACAAACAGCAUAUACUCUUGGGAGUUCUAGGGCCCUACCCACCGCCUGAUCCCUCCCAUACUACCACAGCUGAUGCUCUCUGGAAAGUGCCACCUCCCAGCAGGAAGCCAACCGGCUCAAAAAUAGUGCAUUAAACCACCAAAACUAAGGACCCUCACAGAGUCCAUUUCACCCCCCACCACCUCCACCACAGCAGGCAUUGGUAUCCACAGCUGAGAGACCCACAGAUGGUUCACAUCACAAGACUCUGUACAGACAACUCCCAGUGCCAGCCCAGAGCCUGGUAGACCUGUUGGGUGACUAAAUUCAGAAGAGAGAUAAUAAUCACGACAGCUCAGAUCUCAGGAAGCCACAUCCCUAGGAAAAGGCGGAGGGUACUACAUCAAGGGAACACCCUGUGGGACAAAAGAAUCUGAACAACAGCCUCGAGCCCUAGACCUUCCCUCCGACAGAGCCUACCCAAAUGCGAAGGAACUAGGAAACCAACUCUGGUAAUAUGAGAAAACAAGGCUCUUUAAUACCCUCCAAAAAAAUCACACUAGCUCACCAGCAAUGGAUCCAACCAAAAAAAAUCCCUGAUUUACCUGAAAAAGAAUUCAUAAGGUCAGUUAUUAAGCUAAUCAAAGAGGUGCCAGAAAAAGGCAAAGCCCAAUUUAAGGAAAUAAAAAAAAAAUACAAAAAGUAAGGGGAGAAAUUUUCAAUGAAAUAGGUAGCAUAUAAUAAAAAGCAAUCAAAACUUCAGGAACCAACGGAUGCAGUUAUAGAAAUUCAAAAUGCUCUGGAAAGUCUCAGCAAUAGAAGCGAAUAAGCAGGAGAAAGAACCUCAGAGCUCAAAGACAAGGUUUUCAAAAUAAUCCAACAAAGACAAAGAAAAAAGAAUAAGAAAAUAUGAACAAAGCCUCCAAGAAGUCUGGGAUUAUGUUAAAUGAGCAAACCAAAGAAUAAUCGGCAUUCCUAAGAAGAAGAGAAAUCUAAGAGUUUGGAAAACAUAUUAGGGUAUCCACUACUGGGUAUCUACCCAGAGAAAAAGAAGUCAUCACACGAAAAGGAUGCUUGCACACAUAUGUUUAUAGCAGCACAAUUCUCAGUUGUAAAAAUGUGGAACCAACCCAUAUGCCCAUCAAUCAGUGAGUGGAUAAAGAAACUGCAGUAUACAUAUACAAUGGAAUACUACUCAGCCAUAAACAGGAAUGAAUUAAUGGCAUUCACAGCAACCUGGAUGAGAUUGGAGACUAUUAUUCUUAGUGAAGUAACUCAGGAAUGGAAAACCAAACAUUGUAUGUUCUCGAUCAUACGUGGGAGCUAAGCUAUGAGGAUACAGAGACGUAAGAAUGACACAGUGGACUUUGGGGACUCAGGGAAAAAGGGUGGGAAGGGAGUGAUGAAUAAAAGACUACAAUUUGGGUGCAGUGUAUACUGCUCAGGCGAUGCGUCCACCAAAAUCUCACAAAUCACCACUAACGAUCUUACUUAUGUGGCCAGGUGCAGUGGCUCAUGCCUGUAAUCCCAACAC
rnacentral:lncRNA from 1 species